GCUCGGCUGUGCCGGUGCUGCGGGCCCGGUGGGGUUCGGCUCGGCCCGGCCGCUGCGGGAGAGGCAGCACAACCGCCCAGUCCCCCGGCUGAAAGGCAGCGCCGCUCCUGCUGUGUCGCGGGGGAGCGGUGGCCUGAGGCGCUGCUGCCUGUGAGGCUCACACGGCGUUCCCCCCGUUCUGCGCGUGCGCCCUGAGCGCCGCCGAACGGCCCCGGUUCCCCCGGCGCCGCCGUGCCGCGGUGCCCUCAGGGCUGGGGGGCUUCUCCCCACCUCCCUGCGCCCCCAUGGCCUUGGGCACCCAUUUCCUAUGGGCUCUCUGUCUGUGGUGGGGCUCCCUUCUCCCUCGGAGCUUCCCUAUCCCCUGUGCCCCUCACCGAGCUCUCCCAGCGGGGCUUCUCUUCUACCACAGACUUCCUGUGGGACGCCCCUCACCCCCAUUUUUAUCCGUUAUUUUAGUGCCAGAGGUGCAGCAGGUCACAUCCCACCCUGUCCGAGGUUCUUUCUAGGCUAACGGACACGUGGGGACACAAACGGACACGUGGGGGGACAAACGGACACGUUCCCCAUCGUAAUCCCAGAGCAGGCGCAGCCCCCGCUGCCGGUGGAUCCUCCCUUUGCCGGGCAGACACCAUCCGGACCGUGGCUUUUCCAGUCUCAGCAAAUCUGCAAUUCUAUAAUUCUGCUGCUGUGGUACAACCAGUGAGCAACUAUCACAUGCAGGACCAUCAUCUGGGGGUGCCCAGACCCUCUUCUACCCGAGUGCUUUGCUCCAGGCUCAGUGAUGUGAUUCAUCUUGGCUGCUGUGGAGAUGGAAUGGGAAGGUUCCAACACUGCUUGGUGUGACAUAGCUGCUCAUGAAAUCCUGUGCUGCUGGCAUUGUUGGGCCAUGUAUCCUUUAGAAUUGCAACACCCUAAACCUGACAAACAGGCACUUCAUCCACACAAGCUCGUUCUCCUUUCUCCUUCUUUAUGGAAAAUUGGCAGACUCCCAACCUGUUUCCAUAGGAACGGGCUGGGAGAGCAGGAGACCUCCAGCUGCUGAAGU